UCCCUUGUGGCUCAGAUGGUAAAGCGUCUGCCUACAAUGCAGAAGAUCCAGGUUCAAUCCCUGGGUCGGGAA
rfam:Ovis aries breed Texel chromosome 2, whole genome shotgun sequence.